GCGGGGGCCCUGCGCAACAGGGCUCCGUGAAUCAUGUCAGGACCGAGAGGUAGCAGCAUUAAGCGAUCUGUCUUGUGUGCCGCAGACCAGCCUCUGCGUA
rnacentral:SRP_RNA from 1 species